rnacentral:rRNA from 1 species
GACGAACGCUGCGGUGUGCUUAACACAUGCAAGUCGAACGGUAAGGCCCUUUCGGGGGUACACGAGUGGCGAACGGGUGAGUAACACGUGAGUAACCUGCCCUCAUCUCUGGGAUAACAGUCGGAAACGGUUGCUAAUACUGGAUAUGAGCCUGCAAGGCAUCUUGUGGGUUGGAAAGAUUUUUUGGUUGGGGAUGGACUCGCGGCCUAUCAGCUUGUUGGUGAGGUAGUGGCUCACCAAGGCUUCGACGGGUAGCCGGCCUGAGAAGGCGACCGGCCACAUUGGGACUGAGAUACGGCCCAAACUCCUACGGGAGGCAGCAGUGGGGAAUAUUGCACAAUGGACGGAAGUCUGAUGCAGCAACGCCGCGUGCGGGAUGACGGCCUUCGGGUUGUAAACCGCUUUCAAUUGUGACGAAGCUUUUUGUGACGGUAGCAGUAGAAGAAGCACCGGCUAACUACGUG